GAUGAACGCUAGCGAUAGGCUUAACACAUGCAAGUCGAGGGGCAUCAGGAGCAAAGCUUGCUUUGCUUGCUGGCGACCGGCGCACGGGUGAGUAACGCGUAUGCAACCUACCUUCCACACGGAGAUAGCCCGGAGAAAUCCGGAUUAAUAUCCGAUAACACAGGGACACCACAUGGUGAUAUUUGUUAAAGAUUAAUCGGUAGAAGAUGGGCAUGCGUUCCAUUAGUUAGUUGGUGAGGUAACAGCUCACCAAGACCACGAUGGAUAGGGGAACUGAGAGGUUUCUCCCCCACCCUGGAACUGAGACACGGACCAGACUCCUACGGGAGGCAGCAGUGAGGAAUAUUGGUCAAUGGGCGAGAGCCUGAACCAGCCACGUCGCGUGAAGGAAGACUGCCUUAUGGGUUGUAAACUUCUUUCAUAAGAGAAUAAAGCGGGUUAUGCAUAACCCUUUGCAAGUAUCUUAUGAAUAAGCAUCGGCUAACUCCGUGCCAGCCGCCGCCGUAAGAC
rnacentral:rRNA from 1 species